rnacentral:rRNA from 1 species
GUGGGGAAUAUUGGACAAUGGGCGCAAGCCUGAUCCAGCCAUGCCGCGUGUGUGAAGAAGGUCUUCGGAUUGUAAAGCACUUUAAGUUGGGAGGAAGGGCAGUAACCUAAUACGUUAUUGUUUUGACGUUACCGACAGAAUAAGCACCGGCUAACUUCGUGCCAGCAGCCGCGGUAAUACGAAGGGUGCAAGCGUUAAUCGGAAUUACUGGGCGUAAAGCGCGCGUAGGUGGUUCAGUAAGUUGGAAGUGAAAUCCCCGGGCUCAACCUGGGAACUGCUUUCAAAACUGCUGAGCUAGAGUACGGUAGAGGGUGGUGGAAUUUCCUGUGUAGCGGUGAAAUGCGUAGAUAUAGGAAGGAACACCAGUGGCGAAGGCGACCACCUGGACUGAUACUGACACUGAGGUGCGAAAGCGUGGGGAGCAAACAGGAUUAGAAACCCUGGUAGUCC